rnacentral:lncRNA from 1 species
UUCAUACUAUUUAUAUUAUAAUAUGUAGUGUCUUAGUUACCUGAAGAACAUUUUUUAAAUGUUUUAAUACCAUUUUUCCAAAGAAAUUUAAAGACUAAACAAAAAAAGUCAUCGCUUUUCAUCCUCCUAACAAAUCUCUUAUUGUUAAGCAUGCAAAUCUUUUUCUUUUCCCAGCAAUAAUUUUGUAAUGAACAUCCUUAUACCAUAAUCUUUAUGUACAUCUCUAAUUAUUUCUCUGACACAAAUUCCUUCACAUGUGAUUUCUAGAUCCUGGAGCAUGAAAAUUUCCCUUAUUGAAAAAUGGCCUUCUAGAAAAGUCUUACCAAUUUUCAUCCUACCAGUAGUACAAGACACUGUAUCAAAAUUAGCAUUUUUUGUUAUCUUGUCUUAAUCUGUACCAAAUUAAUAAGUGAAAAUGGCAUCUUUUUAAAAUAAUUUGCAUGUCUUUGACACGUCUUUUAUAAUUUUAAUAAUGUUUAGGAUUCUUUCAUUGUUCUUCUUAUGUGAAUUUCUUCCUAGUAGCACCUCUGAUCCUUUCAUAGGGUUUGCAGGAGAAUUAAAUGAGAUAAUUCAUAUGAAGUGCUUAAUAUAGUGACUAGAAAAAUCCUAAGUGUUUGAUAAUAGUUAAUGAGUUUUAGUUAUAAUUAUGAGUAUUGAUUUGUUUUCACUAUAUAUUGCAGGUAUAAAUGUCAUCAGUAAAGAAACUCAAUUUAAAUGAAGAUAGCAUUACCAUUACUCUGAAGUUACCCAGUUAAUAGUAAAAUAAAAUUUAUCCUUUCUGUAAAGAACAUGAAAUCACAAAUCUACGGAGGGAAGUUCUUGGAUGUUUCUUCAUGCUGCCCUUGGUCUCUUGUUGUCUCUCUAGCAUCCCAACCACAAUGGGGUCAUUGUGUGGGCUCUGCUUCUGCCAGCUUUCCAUGCUCAGCCCUGAGGACCCAUGUCUAUGACCAGAUUCAAAAUGGACAAUGA